GAUGCUUUUCGACCGUCAUAAUUAUAUAUUAUCAGGACAUAAUUUUUGUCUACAUACAAGAAUGUGAUUUAAGAGUAUUUAGCAAUAUGAUUCACUGUUUUCACUAUCCAUCCGACUUUUUUAUAUCUUGAACCAACCAUCAAAUAUGCUGCUACUGUUGCAGGCACUAAGGUGGCCUCUAGCAGCUUGUCAAUCAGCUGCAUUGUCUUCUGCUCUGUCAUAAAUAUGAAUUAGGCAUGUCAAUGAUUCACAUUUGAGAAUAUUGUUAGUCCGCCAAUAUUGCUGUAUUUGUAAAUAAUAAUUCUGUAAAAUAUAAGUUAUCGUAAUGAAACAGUAAUUAAUUCGAGCUCACUGAAUUCACAGUGUUUCCUUAAGGAAUUUAAUCCCCUCCUAGUACCCAAGGUUAUGGAUUAUUUCCUCCCAGGAUAGAACGAAUCACACACUGGUGUAGCGGUACUUCAAACCCCAGUGUUUCAGCGAACACAAAGUUCGGUAGCAAAUCACACUUACAGUUGCUUUGUUUGAAGUUAAAACAAUGCAGAACAAAGGAGUAGAAACUCAGAAAAUCGUAUGGAAAUGCUGAGAGGAAGGAGUGCAAUGUAUAGCCAAAGUUGAGCGUUUUCAGUUUUUUUGGUGUAUUUCGUUUGGUGUUGUGUGUCUUUCUUCAACAGCUGUUGCACAUAUUUAUAGCAGUCAGCUUUAAAGAUGAACGACCAUCCACCCUCCAUUGUGAAGCAUGCACUAGCUUAUUUGUGGAGCAAGCAUUUGGCCAUGGUGGGAAGAGCAUUAGGCGGCCUGCUAUUGCAGGUGGUGGUCAAUACACGGAUUGGAUAAAUUUGGUCCAAAAAAUCCAAAUCCAAAUCCGAGCGACGACGACGACGGCGCGAGGCUUGCUUUCUUCUUAACUCUUUAAGAGCUACAAGAAGAGCAAUUAUAUAUAUACCCACCAAAAAUCUUUUCCUCUUCCAAUAUGGGACAAUGUCUCAUUGUCAAGAGGGAGAAACUUAAAAUUUUACUCAAAAUUUUAUUUUUCCCUCCAUUUCCCAUUCACCCUCAUUUUAAGACUAUUUCAUCUUAAAUAACAAAAACCUCAACAAAUAUAAUAUGCUCAAACAAAAUCAUUGAUAUCCAAUGGCCACACAAGAUCUCUAGACGCUAACUGUAACAUACUGUAGUUAUAGACUCAAGCCUAACCACAAAACCAGAAAGAAGUUUGCAUUAUGCAUUAUGCGUUAACCAUUAAUGUAUCAGGUUACCAUCAAAUUCAAAUGCGAGCUAGAAGAGCAUAAUUAUUUCACCGAGUUCCUAGGGAGCAUUUCGAAAGAAACUGAUGAGACAUAUUUAUGAGGAUUGACUGUCAUUAUUUGAUUGUCAACUACAAUGCUAACCAAUUCCUUUCAUCUCUGCCAAGCCUUUCCAGUAGAAUCAAUUCUGUUAGUUUCAUCUUUUUUGCCUAAGGGAGGAAGAGUACUUUUCAGUUUUCAUGGAUAUUACGCCAAACUUGUCAUAUUAAAUAAUCUGUGCUAGUUUUAUGUUAUCUACAUGGUAAAAGCAAAGGAGUACAUGAAAAAUUCAGUCAAGCAUAAGAAUAUAUAUACAAUUGAAAAAUUAAACAGGAAGCAUGAGAUGAACUCUUGCAUUUUGUACAAUAUGUAUUUAGUGCGACGAUAAAUCUGACUCUGGAGUUGGCAUCUCAAAAACAUCUCCCGGUCUCAUGAAAUUCAACUACUAUGAUCUGUUAAAAUAUUACUUUUAGUUUAGGCAACACAAUUUGACUUGUCAAAACUUUAGUUCUUUUUAUUCGAUAGCAGAUUUAACAAGGAAUAACCCUUAACAAUACUUUUGUAAUGGUUAUAUCAGUAUUGAAUAGAAGAAAUUUUUGUAGUGAUCACCUUUAGCUAAUGUUUGAAUUAGCUAAUAUUUGGUAACAAUUGGUAGUACUUCUCAUUACAGAAGUUACACUCAUUAGAAAAAAAUUAUCUUUUAAUCUAUUUUACCUUUAAUUAAACCAUGCAUCUCACGGAUUACACAGAUAAGCCACAUUUGGGAACAUCAUAUGCUAAACCAUUUUGGUCAGCUAAAGUCAACCAGCUCUAAAAGCUUCCUAAUUACCCGAACCAUGCCUCGUACCAAAAUUCGUGCAAAAACAAUCCAAUAAUUACAAAUUUUCACAUAGAGAAUAUGUUUGUAUCCCUCAUUUCAAAAAGAUAAGCACAUAAAUACAAAUCUUUUUCCAAAACCACCAAUCGCCAUUCCACACCACCCCAGAAGAUGAAAACAGAAAAUCACAGGCCAACAACUUUAGACAAUUUAAAUAAUUUCAAUUCAUUAGAAGUCCGGAUUCUGGAAGUAAAACUAAGAAUAGUAAACGCGUGCAGAUCCAAACAAAAGGUUCGAUAAAUAAAGGAAAAAAUCAGGAAAAUAAAACUGACCGUCUAAAUUAAGUAGCUCGACAUGGAAGACUGAAAAAGACGAAGGAGAUCUUAAGAAAGUAUUAUGAAGAAAGAAAAC
rnacentral:lncRNA from 1 species